rnacentral:rRNA from 1 species
GACGAGGGAUCCUAGCGUUGUUCGGAAUUAUUGGGCGUAAAGCGGGUGCAUGUGGCUUUGUAAGUCAGGUGUGAAAGCCCAGGGCUCAACCCUGGAAGUGCAUUUGAUACUGCGAAGCUUGAGUGCUGGAGAGGUAAGUAGAAUUCCUGGUGUAGUGGUGAAAUACGUAGAUAUCAGGAGGAAUACCGGGGGCGAAGGCGGCUUACUGGCCAGACACUGACACUCAGACCCGAAAGCGUGGGGAUCAAACAGG